rnacentral:tRNA from 1 species
GCAGAUAUGGCGAAAUGGCAGACGCGUGCGCUUGAGGGGCGUAUGAACAUUGUUCGUGGGAGUUCGAGUCUCCCUAUCUGCA